UGUUUGAAAGAGUAAGUUUAAAUUAACGGUAUAAAUACAAAAACGGAUUAAUAUACUUACGUUCUAUCUAGGUUCAGAGCCCUCUUAAUGACUAUCUUGUUUUGGAAGGAAGAAGAAAUGGAAGAGAUGCUUUGGAAGUAAAAGUUGUCAACGACAAGCCUUACAUCACCCAAAGGCCAGCUCUUUUUACAGUAAACCAGGAUGCAGCUGACAAGAC